rnacentral:tRNA from 1 species
GCACCAGUGGUUUAGUGGUAGAAUAGUACCCUGCCACGGUAUAGACCCGGGUUUGAUUCCCAGUUGGUGCA